rnacentral:tRNA from 2 species
CAGGAAUUAAGUAAAUAUACUUGCUUAGAGCUUUGAAGGCUCUUGGUCUGGGUGCUAACCUAAAUUCCU